UACGUAGGUGGCAAGCGUUGUCCGGAUUUACUGGGCGUAAAGAGCGCGCAGGCGGUCGGAUAAGUCGAAUGUGAAAGCCCCCGGCUUAACUGGGGAGGGUCAUUCGAUACUGUUCGACUGGAAGGCAGGCGAGGGAAGCGGAAUUCCCGGUGUAGUGGUAAAAUGCGUAGAUAUCGGGAGGAACACCAGUGGCGAAGGCGGCUUCCUGGCCUGUUCUUGACGCUGAGGCGCGAAAGCUAGGGGAGCAAACGGG
rnacentral:rRNA from 1 species